rnacentral:antisense_RNA from 1 species
CUUGAGCGAGCCCAGCCACAGGGGGCGGUCCGCAGGCCGGUCCUUGCCGUAGGUGGCGAGCAGGGCCCGCGCCUC